CCUGGGGCUGAGCGCGAACCUGCGUCUGUCAGCGGUAACUCCAGUGGUUGCGUUAAGGAUUUGGCAGGUACCUGUAGCAGCCAUGGCGUCGGCGAAGCCCUUUCUGGGGCAAGACACGGCAUUAUGCUCCUAAGCCAGAUCUCGUGCGAGGAGCGCCGGGCACGGGCUCCUCAGCCCAUUUCUCUCAGGACAGCCUUCUCUGCACUUCUUAUCUUUGGAGUCCUCCCUGAGUAAGCAGCAUCCCUGGUGAAUUCACCUUGCCAAGUCAGAGCUGGAACAAGUCUUCCUAGGAGUUUUCAUGGUUAACUCUUUUUAGCAGUGUUACUACCCUCUCCCCAGAAGAAACCUUAUGUAGAGCCCCAUGAUAUAAAGCUGAUUUUUCCACCUGAAA